rnacentral:miRNA from 1 species
UAGGGUGACCAACCAUCCUGGUUUGCAUGGGACUGAGGGGGUUCCCAGGAUGUGGGGUUUUAGUACUAAAACCAGGAAAGUC